AGGAAUGACACAGCAGGGCAGAGACCGAAAGCAGCGGUUGGUCAAGAAACUGUGGCAUGAAGACACCAAAACAGAGCUCCAACUCAGUGUCUACACAGGUGUCCUGGCUGUUCUGAAAGAAUACGUCAUGGCAUUCCAGGUAUAUUGAAAUACUGUUUCUCAACUAUGUUGUAUCAUAAAGCUUGGAUAGUUUUAUUUUAUGUUACCAGUGUAACUGGCUGUGUCUUACUCUACUUGUAUGGUGGAAAUCCAUAUCCAUCUCUCACUUGCACAAUAUUACUACUUCCUCAGAGUCGUGACACCCUUGUGCACAAGUUGCAUGACAAGCAGCUGCAGGUUUUCACCAACUUCCUGGCAUUCUUUGUGAAGCCAGAACACCUGCCACCAAUCCCCAGGACCCUGGCAGGUCUCGAACUCGAGGGAGACAAACUGCUGCCGGCAAGAGACCUGUAUGUGGGUCGAGUGGAAGAUAGAUUCAGACGGGAGCAUCCUCAACACCAUGUGAGUGGUUUAAAAUGAGUUACCAGACUUUUGGACCAAAGCCAUUUUAUUGCCAAUGAUAAAGGAGCACAACUACCAGUGUGUUAUUGUUAAUAUUUAUACAGCUGCUGAAGCCCUUCCUGGACCAAGUACUCCAGGCAUAAAUCUCAUGUGGGGUAUACCUGCAGAGCAAGCUGCCACUGGAGAGCAUGACCUUGCAGUGCCUGUCUGCUGUUGACCCUAUUGCAAGGGGGCACUCCAAGACUGGACGUCUGCUUAGACGACUUGCGGAGAUGUUCACCAAGUUCCUCCCUGCUGAUGUGGAUGUUCAGCAAGAGGUUCUCCAGUAUGGCGUAGACCAGAGCCUGCCAACCUUCAGAGAAGGAGAGGAUGCUGUCAGCUGGUGGGCAGCUGUCUUUGAAACGGGAAGGUACCCAGGGCUCAGCAUGGCAGUAAAGGCAGCAUUGUCGGUGUUCCAUGGGCCAACAGUGGAGUCUUCAUUCAGUCUAAUGUCUGAAAUCAUAGACUCGAAAAGUGGCAGCAUGAACAUUUCCACUCUGAGUGCCAUCCAAACUGUCAAACACACCUUGCUGACCCGGAAGCAGACGGCAGUGGAGAUGUUUAAAAGAGAAGACCUUAAGCAUGGGCCAGUGGACCAAAGGAUGUGCCACAACAUCAUGUCGGCCGGAACCAAGGACAAAGCUCUGAGGAAGCAGGCAACCCUAAAGGAGAUGGAAAGAAGGACGGAGUUUGCCUGCCAGCCAUCCUCAAGUGCUGCCGCAGCAAGAAGAGCCGAGGCAGAAGAGGAGGCGCUGGCCAGAAGGCGGCAUGCGGCCAAACAACGCAAGAGAGCUUGCGAAACACUCGUCAAGGCUAAGCGACAAAAAUAAAAAAUUGUGGCAGUUGUAAAUAAAAUAUAAUUUAUAAGCCUCAAGGAUGUUUUG
rnacentral:lncRNA from 1 species